rnacentral:rRNA from 1 species
AGUGAACGCUGGCGGUAGGCCUAACACAUGCAAGUCGAACGGCAGCACAGUAAGAGCUUGCUCUUACGGGUGGCGAGUGGCGGACGGGUGAGGAAUACAUCGGAAUCUACUUUUUCGUGGGGGAUAACGUAGGGAAACUUACGCUAAUACCGCAUACGACCUACGGGUGAAAGCAGGGGAUCUUCGGACCUUGCGCGAUUGAAUGAGCCGAUGUCGGAUUAGCUAGUUGGCGGGGUAAAGGCCCACCAAGGCGACGAUCCGUAGCUGGUCUGAGAGGAUGAACCGCCACACUGGAACUGAGACACGGUCCAGACUCCUACGGGAGGCAGCAGUGGGGAAUAUUGGACAAUGGGGGCAAGCCUGAUCCAGCCAUACCGCGUGGGUGAAGAAGGCCUUCGGGUUGUAAAGCCCUUUUGUUGGGAAAGAAAAGCAGCAGGUUAAUACCCCGCUGUUCUGACGGUACCCAAAGAAUAAGCACCGGCUAACUUCGUG